rfam:Aedes albopictus isolate Foshan contig16351, whole genome shotgun sequence.
UAGCCUAGUGGUUAAGGCUGCGGAUCGCCAAUCCGGAGACGGCGGGUUCGAUUCCCGU